CAGCAGUAGCCGCGGGAAUACGAAGGGGGCUAGCGUUGUUCGGAUUUACUGGGCGUAAAGCGCACGUAGGCGGACUUUUAAGUCAGGGGUGAAAUCCCGGGGCUCAACCCCGGAACUGCCUUUGAUACUGGAAGUCUUGAGUAUGGUAGAGGUGAGUGGAAUUCCGAGUGUAGAGGUGAAAUUCGUAGAUAUUCGGAGGAACACCAGUGGCGAAGGCGGCUCACUGGACCAUUACUGACGCUGAGGUGCGAAAGCGUGGGGAGCAAACAGGAUUAGAUACCCCAGUAGUCCCUGUCUCUUAUAA
rnacentral:rRNA from 1 species